CUGCGCUCUCUCGAAAUGCACUUGUGUGUUCGCAAAUCUACAUGUUACUCAAAUAGGAUUGGCAGCCUUAUUGACAAAUCACAGCACUGGCCUUUGUUACAAUGCCAGUGAUUGGCUAGCUAGCUAACUGGAAGGUUGGGACCAACGUGAUGUUUACAUCCCCAGGUAUCUAACCACAUUGCAACAUGGAGGACUUUCCAAAAGGCGCUUCUUAUUUUAGGUGGAGAGGGAGUAAGAUCACUAGAAAGGAGCAUGAAUAAAGCUGUUGUUGCACAGCAGAGGUAUUACAGUCAAUGCAUAUGAACUGAAUAUUGUGUGUGAAUUGCACAUUUAUAUCAUUGGCACUAAGAAAAGGGUUGUACAGCAACAUGAGCAGUAAAUGCUAACACGGCUUUGGUGAUGAAAGGUAUGUCAUGGAGGUGACUAUGUAUAUAUUAGAAGAUUCCCCAAUACAUUGCAUUAUAUGCCCAGAACCUAAUUCACCUGGUACGGGUGAAUAUAAGGUGCGCACCUCUUUGCUGGAGCAGACCGGGACCAGUGUUGAAAUGGAACGAGAAGGCCUUUAUGGGAAUUGGGAGGGUCAACGCUUCACCCUUUCCAAAAGCUAAGUACCUCUCCAUAUUCCAUUUCCAACAUUUGACCUGCUAGCACUGCCUGCUGACAUUCUCUACUGCUUUGUGUGCUACGCACAGCCAGUACAGUAGUGCACCUACUGUGAACCAGAGAGGAGGCCUUUUGGGAUACUGGAAAGGUGAAGCACAAUUCGGGUUGAAUUCAUUAUGGAUUAUACUGACUUCUGCCUGAACACUCAUUGCACACAUCUAAACUAUUUGAGUUACUAGUGUCCCCCCAAUGACAAUGGAAAACUUUUCUGAGUAGACAUGAUUGGCCUUUAUUGAUACCAGAUAACAUUACUUAAGCCACUGUCUCCUGCCUCCAUUUUUAUUUUCCCAUUCAAGCCUUUUUGAUUUUCCCAUUUAAGUUUGUUUAAAUCUAUUUACUAUUUCCCCAUUACCUUUGAUAUUAUACUCCUUUCCUUAGUUCUAUUGUGGCUUAUUAUGAUUUAGUUUAAUCAUUUUUGGAGAGGUAUUGUGGAGUUUUAUUGUAAUUGGCCCUAUGACGUUUCAGCUAAAUCUGUUGACAGAAUCUUUCUUUCACUCAGUACAACAGAACCCAGGAGAGGCCUGCUGCGAACACUGGCUUGGAUCCCUCAGAGCGUACCUGCAGUGGUGUGACCACGGAAGAGUCCUCAAGGACUUUUAACAUAGGACUUUUCCAUUUGAUCUUUUUGGACUUGUCCACUUGGGACUUUUAGCUAUUGUUAAAUAAAUAAUGUAGAACACC